rnacentral:lncRNA from 1 species
UAUAUUAUUAUAUUAUUUUUAAAUUAAUUUUUUUUAUGAAUUAUAAAUUUUUAUUUUAUGGGUGAAUUUAAAUCAUCUGACCACGCCUAGUUAAAUAAUAUGCAAAUCAUAAAGCAGAAUACUCUAUAAACAAACAAAGUAAUACAAUACAUUGAUAAAGUAGGUAUAGGUACCUAACGAAAUAUAAUCUCGAAUAUGAUAUAGUGUUAUUUAUAAGGAAUAUCCAUGUCACAUAUUUUAUAAGCAACGCAAAUGUAUCGUUAUGUUCUGUAUAUAAAUAAAAUAAAAUUACUAGUUUCAUACUAAUCAUAACAAUAUUAAUAUUUUUCAUUUAUCUGUUGGUUUGUUAAGCCAUUCAUAGUGUAUAUUCAAUUGUGAAUUAAAAAAAAUAACAAUUAUACAAAUAAGCUCGACCCAACCACCAAUAGAAAUAUACCAUCUGUACCCUGAGGCACAAUAAGAAUAUGGGCUAAAUUACAGCGACAUUGAAAAAAAUACGUUGUUGGAAGAAGCCACCCAGUAAUGACACUUCCUACGUUUUACAAAAUGCGAUUGUAAAAAUGAAAUAUAAAUAUAUAAUAUAAUACAAUAAGUAUUUUAUUAUUUCUUCACUAUAACAGUAUAUUAGAGGUUAUUACUUUCGUUUUAUGAAGUCAAACAUUUUUCUUGUAAAUUAAGGUAAAUAUUAUUUUGUUUACUAUUGAAAAUUAUUUUAUAGGAAUUUUUACUCUCGUCUACAUCCCAGUUUGAUAUAAUAAUCUCGUAGCAAGCUGAACUUUUGUAUUCAAAUUGAAUAUAACACGAUUCAUUCAAAGCACACACUUCUAACAAUUUAUAACAAUAUAGCUGUAUUAAACAACGUGGCCUGGGGAUAAAUAAAAUCAAGAUAGGCAAUCCUGCACCAAGUCCUGCGGUGAAUAACACAAUAAUUAAUAUCUUUUUAUUGUUAUGAUCAAAAUGUUACAUUUAUGCGGACUCGGGUUGCAGCUGUUAGUUCAGUUAUCAAAUGUCUAUUGCAGGCCGAUACCUAUCUACAUUUUAUCCACAACAACCGAUUCCGACUCGAGAGCCUAUACCACUAUACCAGUGACGAAGUCAUCACUACACGACAACCGCUGGAUUGAUAUAAUAGUGUUAUUAUUCAGUUGGUUGUUCUCCGUCCGUUGUGUUUGAUAUUAUAAAAAAAAUUGCUAUAAAUCAUUUCUGUAUUUAAGUAUUCGAUUAUAUUAUGGUCAUGUAUUUAAACCUGCGUUACAAUAAUAUAAUAUGCAUUAUUAUUAAGCCGCAUAGAUACUAUAACUUAUAAGUACCUAUUUAAUUUAUUUAUCAAUCAAUAUUGUGUCGCCUGACACCUACUACCAAUAAGUCCUUUAUGCGGAACGGGCAGCGUCAUUAAAAAAAACAAACAAACAAACAAACACAAAUGAUUAAAUUUUUUAUUUAUAUUACGUAUAAAACAAUCAAUUAACAACUCAGAUUUUUUUUCGUAUUUCAAAACAUUGUAAAAUAAUAAUAUGUAACUCCUAUAAUUACCCAUCAAAAAUAAAAACUGAUAAACACGAAGACAAAAGAUAAUCAUUAACAUAAUCUGAAACUCAUUUCGUUUGUUCAAUGAACGUUUGUUGGUUCUAAUUCAAAAAUACAAUGUUAUAUUUAUGUUUACCAGCUGCGCAACUUGCCCGACCGUCAGAUUCCCAAGUGGUAUAAGUUGAACAUAGACAAUUAAAAUCUUACAAAUAUCAUGUAUACUGCGAUGUUUCUUCUUAAUUUCGAACACAAAGGAAGAUAUUAUUUUCAUUGUGGCAUACAACCGAAAUUAGUUUUUAUUUUAUUUUAAACACGGACCACUACAGUUUAUAAUAAUAUGUAAAAUGUGUUCGAAUUUUAUUCAUUAUUAGGAUUCUUUAUUUUCGUUAGCGUUAACAGUGAGUGAUUUACAACGGAAUCGAACCAACUUCCUCAUAAAUUGGCCAGUAGGAUUUAAAUAUUUAGGCAAUACUCAAAAAGAUUUACUGUACUAUUCAAAAGGAAAGUGGUAUUGUGGAAACCUCUAAUAACGACCUUCUGUAAUAAAUAAUUAUUCAAUUAUUUUCUCUUUUCACAAGGCGAGGAUAAGCCAUUCAAUGUUUUUUUAACCCCUUCCCCUUUCAACACGGAAAAAGAAUAAAAAUAAAAUAAACAAAUAGAAAAAUAUACAUGCAUAUAAAUUCAGGAGGGUCAUAAAUUAACCAGAUAAAGUAGAAAGAGAACAACACAAAAAAAUUCGCAAGAGCCACAAAGCCACCCGUUAAAAAGGACUUCAAAACCUCUAAAUAACAAGUAGCAAACCCUUAAUUCUACUUACCAACAGCGACAUUUAUACGUUUUUGAGGCCCACGAGAAAAAUAUGGUUACUUAUCACGGUUUCGGAACAAUACCCAGAGACAUAUUUUCACAAAAUAUUACAUUACAAUAUUGUUGUGAGAAUAAUACAAGAGUGCUAAUAUUACCGUAAUAAUAAUAAUCAUAAU